UCAGUUGGUUAGAGCAGAGGACUCAUCAAAAUGGUGACCAUGGGGCGAGAGCCCCAUCGGAAAACCGGGUGAAUUCAAGGAACCCUACAGCGCAAGCCACGGCAACCUUGAGCCAAGCCCGCCGAAGGGCAGGUCGCAAGACCGGUAGGCGGGAAGGUGCAGAGACUAGGACGUGAGGAGCCCCUCCGAUAAGCGUCCCGCGAGCGCCCGGCGCCCCAACAGUCCGGCUGUGGGCGGUGAGAUAGUCCAAGGAGCGGGGAAACCCGCGC
rnacentral:ncRNA from 1 species